rnacentral:rRNA from 1 species
CUCUCGCGUCAGGAUAUGCCCAGGUGGGAUUAGCUAGUUGGUGAGGUAAGGGCUCACCAAGGCGACGAUCCCUAGCUGGUCUGAGAGGAUGAUCAGCCACACUGGAACUGAGACACGGUCCAGACUCCUACGGGAGGCAGCAGUGGGGAAUAUUGCACAAUGGGCGCAAGCCUGAUGCAGCCAUGCCGCGUGUGUGAAGAAGGCCUUC